AAGCACACACAUACAGACGGCACACUUCAUUUGAAAUGCUCAGUUCCUUCCCAGUUCCUUGCUGAUAGCGCUCUCUGCUGGAAAAAUAAAUUCAUAGCCCUCUCAACAUGGCAAACCAUUUUUCCACUGGUCUUGUGCCCUCCUCCAUAGUGUUAAAACUUGUGGCCAUUAUCAUAUAGUACAUUUUAGAGUACAGUAAAGUAUAUAAUAUCCUGGCGGGGGCUGGGGCAGGUUUUGCAACAGCCCUGUCUGUUUGUCUGCGCGUUUGCCAAACAGACAACCUCACAUGGAUCAGCCAUUGGCAAGGGAAGCAGGUUGCCAUCUCUUGGAUUGCUUUUGUUUAUUGCUCUAUAAAUCCUAGAUCACCCCCAUUGAAGUAGGCCUACAGUACUGUACGUGCCUGAGUGAUUCUGUCUGUGCAGAUCUUUUAUGUGGCCCACCUCAUCCACACAUCCAAGACUGGAUUGGAGGGUGGGAAUUACCAGUGUUAUGGUGUGCUUAGAAAAUGUCACAGAUAGGUGAAAAAAUAUAAUUGAAGCACAUCCCAUCACCUUUAUUCUUUUAUUUAAUCGUUGAUUGUUUGAUUCCUUUCAGCCAUUUACUUAUGCACUCAUCCAUCAUCCUGAGUGUCCAAUAAACUACAGUAGUAGUUGUUAUGCACUUGGUUCCUCCAGCUGUUAGACU